CGCGAAUUUUCUUCACUGCUCUUUUCCUCUUCCCUGUCACACUUUCUUCCUCCCAUCACCGUCAGUUCAUUCGCCAUUCUCCUCUCCAUUCAUUUUCGUCGGUGACAAUAGUCGCUCAUCUACUGUAUAUCCACAUCGCUAGCGUUUUUCUGUAGCUCCGUCCGCUGCUGGUCUGUCACACUCGUGGCUUCUGUUUCUCUUCUGCUCCUCUAUUUCAGAUCGACGAGGCUGUGUUUCUUCAUUGUUAGUACGAGUAUAUGGGAGAAGAUUGCGUCAACAAGAGUCCCAGGCUUCAACAAUGAACCGAGCUCCGUCGUGUAAGCUUAUUGAACCUUAACCUUUGAACCGUGCCUGGCGACUCUUUCUUGUAUAUUGUAGUUGCAAAUGCAGCAACAUUCCCACAUUCUGAUAUAGGAAUCCUGUAAUGUCAAUGUUCACAAAAAUUACUUCAAUUCCUCAAGCACAAUUUGAAUUAAGGCUUCAUUAUUCCUACCGCAAUGCUUCGUCUGUUUCUCGAUACAGGACGCAA